rnacentral:rRNA from 1 species
GACAGAGGGUGCAAACGUUGUUCGGAUUUACUGGGCGUAAAGCGCGUGUAGGCGGCUUUGCAAGUCGGAUGUGAAAUCCCACGGCUCAACUGUGGAAGUGCAUCCGAAACUGCAUCGCUGGAGUCUCGGAGAGGAAGGUGGAAUGCUUGGUGUAGAGGUGAAAUUCGUAGAUAUCAAGCAGAACACCUGCGGCGAAGGCGGCCUUCUGGACGAUGACUGACGCUGAGACGCGAAAGCGUGGGGAGCAAACAGG